UUUUUAGACAUCCAAGUUAGGGCGGAUGAAUUUUACCUCAAAGGCUUGGAGUGUUUUCCUGAAACUCGAACCAACCUUUUGAAGUUUGCUCCUCAUCCUUAUAGAAUACAGGUCAGAACCAAUAACGGAGAGAUGAGAAACUCUUGCCUCCAACUAUCUCCAGAACCACCUGUAGUCCCCUGUACUGAGAGCUAUUUAAUGCAGAUUGAGGAGUGAAGCUAAAGUUGUUCAUGGAGGCCAACCAUCCUGCCAGAGAGCUAGAAGAUCCACUGUGAGAAAAUGUUAACAUCCUUUCUUGAAAUACCAGUCCCAUCAAGUGCUGUGGGGGCACGAAACUCCUGCAGAAAUUGUUUGGAAUAGAAAAAAUCUGCAAUCUCUGUUGAAAAUCAAGUUUUUGAGUAGAAAAAUAAAUAGAGAAAAAACAACCUGUCCUAAAAUAAU
rnacentral:lncRNA from 1 species